rnacentral:rRNA from 1 species
AUUGCACGCUGGCGGCAGGCCUAACACAUGCAAGUCGAGCGGAGCGGCGGACGGGUGCGUAAUGCCUAGGAAUCUGCCUGGUAGUGGGGGUUAACGUCCGGAAACGGGCGCUAAUACCGCAUACUAUCAGAUGAGCCUAGGUCGGAUUAGCUAGUUGGUGGGGUAACGGCCUACCAAGGCGACGAUCCGUAACUGGUCUGAGAGGAUGAUCAGUCACACGUGAACUGAGACACGGUCCGGACUCCUACGGGAGGCAGCAGAUGGGAGUAUUGGACAAUGGACGGAAGCCUGAUACGGCCAUGCCGCGUGUGUGAAGAAGGUCUUCGGAGUGUAAAGCACUUUAAAUUGGGAUGCGUUACCAACAGAAUAAGCACCGGCUAACUUCGUGCCAGCAGCCGCGGUAAUAC